UACGUAGGGGUCAGCAGUCGUUCGGAUUCGAUUUGUGGCGUAAAGAGCUCGUAGGUGGUUCGGUAAGUCGGAUGUGAAAUCUCCAGGCUCAACCUGGAGGGGUCAUUCGAUACUGCCGUGACUAGAGUUCGGUAGGGGAGUGUGGAAUUCCUGGUGGAGCGGUGAAAUGCGCAGAUAUCAGGAGGAACACCCGUAGCGAAGGCGGCACUCUGGGCCGAUACUGACACUGAGGAGCGAAAGCGUGGGGAGCGAACAGG
rnacentral:rRNA from 1 species